UGCUGUUCAGCUAGACGGCUUAUACGUUCAAGCAAUUGAGCUGCUUUUCUUUUCCCUCUAUCUGUCCCGUUUCCGGCUAAAUCAAUCAGUGGACCCAUAAGACCGAGUUUCUGUGCUUCGACCAGAUGUUGUGGGUCAACAGAACAGAGGUGGACUAGAACCGCAGCAGCGUUCUCUCUGUUUCUAGGAGAUCCAGUUCUGAUAAACUCCACUAGACUCGGGACUGCGUCGGAUGAUCCUAUGAUUGCUUUCCCUUCGGGAUGGCUCGAGAGAAUCGCCAGAAUGGCAAGCGCCUCAUCGACCAUUCCGCUUCCGGGCUGUGUUAAGAGUCUCGUCAAUGUGGGAAUCACUCCUGCGCGUAUGGCCUUUCCUUUGUUUCCUUGAUAUAUGCAGAGGUUGAAAAGUGCAGUAGCCGCGUCUUUCUUGCCUCUUUGUGUACCUUCAUUGAGCAGUACAACGAGCGGUGGGAUUGCUCCCAAGGCACCAAUAGUCACUUUGUUCUCGUCAAUCACGGAGAGACUGAAGAGUGUGGCCGCUGCAUUCUCUCUAGCCUCCAUGCUUCCUUUCUUGAGCACUUGAACUAUACCAGGGAUAGCUCCAGCAGAGACAAUGGCCCCUUUGUUGUUCUCACAUAUGGAGAGGUUUAGAAGAGCUGUUACCGAAUGUUCUUGGAUACGAGAAUCAGGAGUUGCGAGGAGGCCAACGAGAAGAGGUAUGGCUCCAGCUUCAGCUAUGGCCACACGGUUGUCUGCAUUUCGUUUUGCGAGGAGGCGGAUUUCUCCAGCUGCAGAUCGUUGGUCCUCAGGGUUUCCGUAAGCCAGCCUCCACAUAAGAUCUUCGAUCUUGUUUGCUUCUGCUGGGGAGGAAAAGGAUGAUACUUUCCUGGGCCUUAAACUGCUCGGAGGUUUUGGAGGCUCGAUAUCAUUGGCCUCGCACCACUGAGCUAUCAGACUUCGGAGAACAUAGUUGGGUGUGAGGGUUGUGCUUGUUAGCGCCUGCUGUGUUUUUGGACAUGUCGAAUGCCCAGCUUCUAUCCACUUGUCAAUGCAGGUGCGUUCGUAGGUCUAUUACACACAGAGGAGAACAUGCUUCAAUAAUUAAAUCUGAAAAGAUUAUAGAACCUAAAGAAAUUUGAAGAAACUGCAACUUUACCUGCCCUGUUGAAACGAUAACUGGAUCUCUCAUCAUUUCCAGAGAUAUUGGACAGCGGAAAUCAUCAGGAAUCACCGGUAUCUUGUGACUCGCAGCCGUAGAAGUUUGCCCAUUGCUACUCGAGUUUACCCCAGCACUCUGGUCCUCGCUAUUGUCAGUGUCAAUCUGCACAAAAUCCUUAAUCAGCUUAAGUACCAUUGCCAUCUCCUCAAUGCUUUCACCACCGCUCGAAGCAACCAUUUCGUGCAGAGCCACUGAUUCUUGAGCUAGGUCAGGAAUCUCCAUCAGAUGUAACUUCCUAGCAACCCGCUGCAGGGUAGGUUGAUAAUCAUCUACGUCACUGCUUUUGAUGCACAGUGACUGAAGAUCUUCAUACAGUUCAUCGUCUGAUGCAUCUACUCUUCCUUUGGCUCGCCGAAACUGGCUGAGAACUAACUCAACCUGCAAAAAAGAAAGAAAAAAAAAACGCCAUCAAAAUGUGCACAUAUCCGCUGAAGAUCCUAUUCUCAGUGAUUGAAGUGGACAGAUGUAGAGCUUUGAUCGCGUAGUUCGUACAGUUAUGGGGUUCUAUCGUUUUUUAUUGGAAUGUUAUGGACAGAAGUCACAAGUAAGCUAUGUGUUUGCUUGGGUUCUGUUUUUGUCUUUGUUUCCUUGGCUUUGUAAGACUAAAGACCGUUUCUUUUAAUACCAGCAAUGAACUUUCAGUGAGAAAAAAAACACAAAUGUUGUGCAUAUGUUCAAGAUAAAAUAGAAUUACGUGUGUAUGCUUAUGUACAGGAAGGUUAUGACCAGGCACGUCCCUUCUAUAAUGCAAAGAAACAUUUGCUUCGGGCCGUAUAAUAUAAGCUUGAGGUUACUGAUCCGAACCCUAUUCUAAUUAAAUUCCCAUUUCUUGUAUUAAAACCAAUAAAGCUGGUGGAAACGAUUACAAACAUUGAAGUGUUACAAUGAUACAAGUUGACGUGUAUGUAUGCAUAUUUGCUGUUCUCUCCUCAGGACCGGAUAGCUCCGUCCUUGCAGAGGUAACACCAUAAAGUUAAAACAUUUCGGACAGACAAGGAGGCCAUUUGCUGCUUUUGCCAUCUACAUUAGAGCCUACCUCGAAGGAAGACCGAGUAGGAGACAAGAAAAGAAAAGUGGGAAUAAUAAAAGACCAUAGGGACCAAAGCAAAAACAACUCUUUUAAGUAUCAGCAGCUUCUGUGGUGGAUGCUGAAUGUGUUGGUUCAGCUUCUUCUGUGUUUUGUGCCUGUGCUGCCGUCUCCUUCUGCUGUUCAGCUAGACGGCUUAUACGUUCAAGCAAUUGAGCUGCUUUUCUUUUCCCUCUAUCUGUCCCGUUUCCGGCUAAAUCAAUCAAUGGACCCAUGAGACCGAGUUUCUGUGCUUCGACCAGAUGUUGUGGGUCAACAGAACAGAGGUGGACUAGAACCGCAGCAGCGUUCUCUCUGUUUCUAGGAGAUCCAGUUCUGAUAAACUCCACUAGACUCGGGACUGCGUCGGAUGAUCCUAUGAUUGCUUUCCCUUCGGGAUGGCUCGAGAGAAUCGCCAGAAUGGCAAGCGCCUC
rnacentral:lncRNA from 1 species